rnacentral:misc_RNA from 1 species
AACUGCUCUUUACUGAUCUUCACCAUCCUGAGAACCCUGGACAAGAUUUUAACAUCUAUGAGACCAAACAACAACUCAACAUCCUUGUACAUUUGAGGCCACGAUUUCUUCUUCCAACCUUUACUCUUUUUACACAGCUCCUUCAACCUCAUCCUUUUCUUCUCGAGUGAAGACUGAAUCAAUUGAAGAGGGGUUGCAAUUUGAUUCUGAUUUCCAAACAAGUUCAGAACACUGCUUGCCUUUCUCUUGUCCAUCUUCAGGAAAAGAUGGAAAGUAAGGAUUGAAC